rnacentral:rRNA from 1 species
AUGUCGGGGCCGGCACCGGCAGGCACACCGGAGCGCUGGCUGGUACGGCGGCGGAAGAGGAGGCGUUACAGAGCACUGUCCUCGACCCUGUCAACGUCGCGGCCGACAGACACACAGGCGCCUCGCCCGGCGUGGCGGCGAAAGAGAAGGUGCCGGCUGGUGCGGCGACGGAGGCGCGGAGCAAAGCCCCCCGACGCCAUCGCCGCCGUGGAGGCCAUCCUGGGUUACACCUUCGCGGACAAGGCCCUGGUAGAGGCGGCACUCACGCACGGCUCCUUCCAUGCUGGGUCGCGGGCCGGCGGCGCGGGCGCGACGUACGAGCGGCUCGAGUUCCUGGGCGACCGCGCCAUCAACGUGGUGGUGGCGAGCCACCUGUACAGCGCGCACCCGGCGCUGCGCCCGGGCGCGCUCACCCGCCUCCACAGCCUCAACGUUGACCGCGAGAAGCUCGCUCGCGCCGCGGUCGCGCACGGCCUCCACCGCUUCCUCCGCCACGAGACGCCCUUCCUCGGGCAGCACGCCGACGACUUCGCGGCGGAAAUCGCCGCCUACCCGGUCCACUCCAACGGGCAGGUCAGGGCGCCCAAGUGCCUCUCCGACAUGGUCGAGGCGCUCAUCGGUGCCGUGUUCCUCGACUCCGGCGACGACAACGAGCAGGUCUGGCGGGUGUUCCGGCGUCUGGCGGACCCGCUGAUCGGGCCGGAGAUGGUGGGGAAGCAGCCGAUGAUGGAAUUCAACGAGCUAUGCCAGGGUAAGAUGCUGCAGGCAAGGAUCGUGAAGAAAGACUGGGCCAAGAGCCACACCGUGAAGGUGGUCGUCGCCGGGGAGACGGUGGCGGUCGCGACAUACGGCAAGAACAAGCACGCCGCGCGGAACCGGGCCGUCAAGUCGGCGCUGGACAUUAUCAAAGCUAGGAAGAAGGACUCGAUGGUCACACUCACGUCGGCGCCACAUGAUAAAGACGGCAUGUCGGUGGGCGGUGACCAUUGCCCUCCAAAGACACCGGAUUUGUUGUCGGCGAUGAGCAACGGGUGCAACUGA